GGUUCUGGUAGAACGUAUUUAGACUGACAGAACCACACAGACACACAACCUGCUGAUACACAACUACACACACACCUGGUUCUCUGUUCCCAGCAGAACCCCCUCUUCCUCCGGUCUGGACUCUGGUCCAGGAAGCAGCGCUCUUCUUCGUUGGGGGAACAAGUUGUCCUGGCGGUAAUGAGCUGCAGCGCCUCCAGAUACUCAGGACGACCGAAGAACUGCAACCUGCGGCUCCAGCUGGAUCCUCUGGAGCAGGAGUGUCCAACUCAUUUUGGUCCAGGGGCCGCAUACGCCCUCAUUUGAUCUCAAAGGGGCCGGACCAGUAAACUUAUAGCAUAAUUACCGAGAAGUAACAAUACGUCUAAGUUUUUCCGACGUUUUAGUGCAAAGGAGAACAAGUAUAUUAGAAAAUCUUUAUAUGUAAUGAACUGUCCUUUUAAAAAAUAUAUUAGAAACAACCAGAGAUUAAAGUAAGUGUAAUUUCAACAACA